rnacentral:rRNA from 1 species
AACGAACGCUGGCGGCAUGCCUAACACAUGCAAGUCGAGCGAGACCUUCGGGUCUAGUGGCGCACGGGUGCGUAACGCGUGGGAACCUGCCCUUAGGUUCGGAAUAACUCCCCGAAAGGGGUGCUAAUACCGGAAAAUGUCUUCGGACCAAAGAUUUAUCGCCUUUGGGUGGGCCCGCGUUGGGUUAGAUAGUUGGUAGGGUAAAAGCCUACCAAGGCGACGGUACAUAGCUGGUCUGAGAGGAUGAUCAGCCACACUGGGACUGAGACACGGCCCAGAAUCUUCCGGGAGGAAGCAGUGGGGAAUAUUGGACAACGGGCGAAAGCCUGAUCCAGCCAUGCCGCGUGAGUCAUGAAGGCCUUAGGGUUGUAAAGCUCUUUUACCCGGGAUGAUAAUGACAGUACCGGGAGAAUAAGCCACGGCUAACUCCGUG